UCUAUUGAGGACAUUCAUUCUCUUCAAACUUUUACUGAUUAUUCUUACUUUCAUUAUUUUUUAUCAUUCUAAACAUGACUUGCACAUAUUAUAAUCUUAUUUUAUAAUGGCUACAUGUAUUUUAUGUGAUUUAGAAGUAAUGUUUUAUUUUAUCCAAUUAUUACAUCCUAUAAAUAAGAUGUGAGUUUGAGAUACUUCCGUUUUGCACAAAGAAAAUAAUUAAAAUUGCUCAAAAUUUGUGCGGAAAACAGUUGUAACUUGAGAUACUACCCUUUUGCACAAAAAAAUAUGUAACAAAUUAUCAAAAUUUUAUUUGCAAAACGGUUGUAACUUGAACUUAUUCAAAUAUCUUUUUUCAAAAAUAAUUUGCUUCUUUUGUCUUAUUUUGUUUCUAAUUCCUUAACUAAAAUGUAUAUAUUUUCCUAAAAUGAAACAUUUUUAUUCAUUAACAAAAUUUUAAAAAGUUUUUUCAUGCUCCUUUGCUUAAGUUGAGUUACAACCGUUUUGCGCUAAGCCCGCGAUAUAUUAUUUAGUGAUGUGUGUAUAUAUACAACAACAACCACCACAACCACAACCGCAAGCGCCAACAGAACCGCAACCAUCACCGCAACCGCCACCACAACUGUGAAUACCACCACAACCGCAAGCGCCAACAGAACCGCAACCAUCACCACAACCGCCACCACAACUGCAACUGCCGGCACAACUGUGAUGCCGCCAACCCAACCGCACCCGCCACCUCCACCACAAUCACAAACAACACCAAAAACAUAACAGCAACCGCAACCUUCAACACCACCACAACGGCAAAUGUCAUUACAACCGCAUAAUAUACCAAAGUUUUCCAAUAAACUCCCUGACAGUUAUGACAAGAACUCUUUAACAAGUCAUCAUAAGAACUCCAUCCUUCUUGUAACAGUCCCUCCCCCGUGAUUUUGUUUAAUCGUGAUUACGUUAUAUGAUUUAUAUGCGGAUUUUAUUCUUACUUUGACAAAAAUCAACAUUAACAAGACAUCAGACGUAUAAAAUAAUUAAAAUGGUUUUUACAUUUGGGAUAUAAUUGUAGAAAUAAAGUAGAUUUCUAUUUGUAGAACUAUUUUAUGGUAUUUUCUUCUUUCGUUUCAGGACUUAACUCAACGAAACCACUUCCCUCUGCGGGGAUUUAACCCUUUCUACAGCAAUUCUGUGGCGAUGACGUGAAUGUAUUCGAGAAAAACAACACCAGGUGAAUUCAAGCAUGGCAAUGUACAGUAAUAUAACAUACUAUGCUGAAAAGUGGCAGAAGAUGUCUGUGAAUAUUAGUGAACAGAUUUAUAUUCUACAGAGUGAAGACCUUGCUUGAAUGGACAAGGAGGAAAUUUCAACAAUGAGUCAAGUGUUCUCAUUUCUGGACAAUAUGGCCUGUACUUGACUAAACCUGGUGAAAGAUGUAGAUAUGAACAUCUUCACUAGCUUCAGUACUGAGGAUGAACUAGAAUAUUAUUUCUUAAUCAGACAGUUCCAGGAUAAUGUCACCGUUGUGGCAGGGCUGGUUUUUCGAGAAGUUAAAUGAUCACAUGUACACACUGCAGUGGCAUGUCCACUAUAAGAUCAGACAAAACGCAACAUUAAAUCCGGAAACCAACAUAAUUAGACCACCAUUCUGGUACCCAAGCACUUGUUCAAAUGAUUUACUCUACUAUGACUUUGGUUUUGUGUGGAUACAGGUGAAAGAUAUUUAUUUUGUCAUGAUUUUUAACCUAAACUGUGCGCAAUUCAUGUUAAAAACAUACAUUGCUACUGAUUGAAAUUUCAAUGAAGAAGCUCCAAUUAGAGACCAGUUGUCUGGCCAGAGUUUAUAGAUAUGCAGUCUGGCCUGUUAUUUGUAGAUAGUUUUCAUGUGAUGUCAUGACUUCCCAUCAUCCGUCUGCCGUGGCCGCCAUUUUGAUUGGCAAACAAUACAGUUCAAUGGUUCAAUGGACCUAUAUGUAAACAAUCUAAAUUUAGAACAGAAAUGGUAAUUUCUUGUUCGGUUAAUGGUUGCAGUAAUCGUGCAAACCAAAGGUGUAGCUUGGGAUUUUAUUCAAUUCCAUCUGUCAGAGAAUGAGAAGGAGAAUUUACGAAGAGUUUGACAGAAGAGCAACGAAUACUGUGGAUUUCUAACAUAAAGCAAAAAGAUGCGCCGACGAAGUAUUCUAAAAUUUGCUCCAAUCAUUUCCUGAAAGGAAAACCUGCAUCUAUGUAUCAUCGCUCAGAUCCUACGCUUAAUUUAGAUGGUGCUAUGACUCCAACAAAAUCAGUGUUGAAGAAAAAAAAAAGAUUGAAACGGAUAGUAAAAGGUAAUUUAGAGUUCAUUUAUUUCAUUUUAAAUUUACAACACAUUGUGACACACUGACAGCUUAACAUUGUCCAGCGAAUCAGUAAUUUUUGAAUUCAAUGAAGUAGAAACAGAGACUUGUACAUUUACUUGGAAAGGGAAAACAGAAGGCCCUGGGAAGUCUUUACAACCAUGUAAGGAAAAUGAUCAAGAAACAUAAAAUGAAUGAGAUAGUAAAAUAUAGAGGAUAUUUGUUUGUUUUGCAUGUAAGAUUGAAAUAUAAUUUCACUGAGUGAACACCAGAUGCAAUAUUUUCACAAGUGGCGUAGCAACAAGUGAAAAUAUAAUAGCUGGUGUACCUUCACAAAUGAAAUAUAUUUCAAUCUUGUAUGUAAAAUAAAUAAAUUUUCGUUUUAUUUCAUGGUUUUUAAGUGAUAUUAAGUACUUUUUACUAAUUUCGCCAUGUAACGUCACGCAUUCUCCCUUGUGACGUCAUCACAUCAUGACGU